rnacentral:tRNA from 1 species
GCCCCCGUAGCUCAGCUGGUAGAGCGCCCGCCUUGUAAGCGGAUGGUCGCAGGUUCGAAUCCUGUCGGGGGCUCCA